GCGCUCUAUUGGCAGAACCUAACAGGAAGCCAGAUGGUAAAGGGCAAAAGCAGUUUGCAGAGUUCCAAUCCUGAAAUCACAAAGGUACCAUCUUCCAUGAUGUGGUUGGCAUAGCCACAAGGAACCUCUUCAGAGGCCACAUCAAUGGGACUACACAAUCUUGGACUUUCAGCAUCCAAAAUUGUAAGGAACCCCAGAAUGGAAGGGAGUAGCAGAAGGACGGAAAGCCACAAAUAGCACAGAAAAAAACAAACGUAGGACAAGAAGCAGCAGAGUGCUUUGGAAUACAGGGAACGCAGUGUGACACUGUGAAGAG